GGGCUCGUAGCUCAGUAGCAGAGCGUUCGCUUGGCGUGCGAAAGGCCGCGGGUGCGACUCCCGCCGAGUCCA
rnacentral:tRNA from 1 species